rnacentral:other from 1 species
GAGCCUCUGCCCGGUUCGUGUUUAGGAGCUUAUUGAAACAACCGAUACACUCACAUCGGGGACCGGCAAUGAUGCUGCGACGAGCACGCUCCGCAUAGCGGAGAAGCCAUGACUUGCAGCACUUGGUUCCCACUUACAUGUGGGUUGAUUUCAAAUGCUUCUUACGGCCUGACGGCGGGGGUUUA